rnacentral:rRNA from 1 species
AGCGAACGCUGGCGGCAGGCUUAACACAUGCAAGUCGAGCGGGCCCUUCGGGGUCAGCGGCAGACGGGUGAGUAACACGCGGGAACGUACCCUUUGGUUCGGAAUAACGCUGGGAAACUAGCGCUAAUACCGGAUACGCCCUUUUGGGGAAAGGCUUGCUGCCGAAGGAUCGGCCCGCGUCUGAUUAGCUAGUUGGUGGGGUAAUGGCCUACCAAGGCGACGAUCAGUAGCUGGUCUGAGAGGAUGAUCAGCACACUGGGACUGAGACACGGCCCAGACUCCUACGGGAGGCAGCAGUGGGGAAUAUUGGACAAUGGGCGCAAGCCUGAUCCAGCCAUGCCGCGUGAGUGAUGAAGGCCUUAGGGUUGUAAAGCUCUUUUGUCCGGGACGAUAAUGACGGUACCGGAAGAAUAAGCCCCGGCUAACUUCGUG